rnacentral:lncRNA from 1 species
AGAAAUUAUAUUGGAUUUAGAAAAAUAUAUAUAUAGUUAUAAUUUUUAUUCUUAACAAAAAUAAAUAAAUUUGACCCCACUGAAUUUUAUGGCUGGAUCCGCCCCUGGACAAACGAGUGUUAGUGACAACCGACAUGUGACAAAAAUAAAAUUUAAUACAUUUUUUAUUAUUUUUUCUUUCUUUUUUUUCUCACUUUCUUCUCCCUCUUUUCUCUCCCUUCUUUCUUCUCCCUCUGUUACAAAAAUCACAAAACUGAAAUCACGAAUUGCAUCCAAUUCUCUUUCUGAUAUCCUGUGACUUCUUCACAUCUCUCUCUCCUUCAAAAUCAAUAAAGGGGAAAGAAACAAUGAUCGAGUUGGGCUUGAUAAUCAGAAUCCUUGGGUCGAAUCCUCGUCGAAAGUGGGUGGAGUAGAUGGUUCUUCUGUCCCAGACUAUUCUAAUGGUCAUUCCUUAAAAUUGAUGCAAAACACUUGUAAUCUGGAGAACCACCAUAACCUGAUUACACCAGACUCCAUCCUUUCAUCACAUGACAUGCUAAACUCUGCCACAUUUUUAGACCCUAUGCCUCGCCCAGAUUCAGCAUCAAUAUUGGUUGAUGAUAAAUUGGGUUCUUUGAUUCUUUCCAGUUCAGAAUCAGGAACUGAUGUAGUCAGGAUCAAAGAAAAAAAUAUUAAUGAAGUAUCGAAGGAAACAAAUCAUGUAGUAAAAAUUGAAGACUCCAAUAUGCCAUGUAUCUCUGGCCUAGUGCAAAACCAGAAACCAGAUGACAAGGCAUCUCCUGAGGCUAUCAAUUUAAAUUGCUUAAGACCUACUGAAGAGAGCAGUGGAGUUGAGAAAUCAAAAGGGGUUGGAGGUUUUAUCUCUCUUGAUAGUGAGGAGCUUCAAGCUGAUUGUUUGAGUUUUUUAUCUGACUUGAUUAAAUCUGUGAAGAAGGCAGCAUUAGAGGGUAUUGAGUAGGUAAAAGCUGAAGUUCAAGAACAUGCCAUUAGAGGGUGUUGAGGGUGUUUCGAAUCUCAAAUAAGAUUUUUCAUGGAAUAUCUGUUAUCAUCAACCUUUGUGAAUCCAGAUAAAUAUUUUUCCACCUCAUCCCAUUCCCUAUUUGUCACCAUUUCCUCAAAAUGCCGCAUGUUGAAGAAAAAUCCCGAUUAUUGCUCCAAUCUCGACCCCAUAAAGAAACAACAAAUUAAGUAAAGAAUAAAACUAACACCAAUUAAUCACUUAACAAUCAAAACAAAUGCCUAAACUAUAACAAAUAUCCUAAAAACAGAGACUUUUCUGUCCCAAUUCAUUUUAUUUUUUAAUAACCUAAAAUUCAAACACAUGUAUACAGAAUUUAUAUAUCUGGACAUACAAUUAUACAUAGAUUAACAUAGAUAGAAAAGGGAAACUCAUACCCGGAUUUGAUGAGGGAUAAAUUCGCAGAUCGAAGGGUUUUGAUUUCAAUUUUGUGAUUUUGGAACAGAGGAAGAAGAAAGGAGAUAGAGAAAAGAGGGAGAAGAAAGAGAUAG